rnacentral:sRNA from 1 species
GUGAGAAUCUAAACUUCUCUGUUUGCACACAGGCCAGGUAUAUAGGGGGAGGGCCCAGUGCUUUCAAGCUUCCACACACGCCGCCCAUCUACCUAAAUUCUGACUUGAAAGGACCACUAACUUCUGGGGUGAGAGAAGCAACUCAUUAUUCCAUGUUUAUUCCAUU